AAAAUACCAUCAUUCGUUCAAUAGUAUUUAUUCAAGCGUUUGAAAUGAAUAUAAAUUCAAGGAGAACUGAGUCAGGUGCUUUUGUUUUGAUCCGUUCUGGUCAGUUGUUUUGUGAGCAUCAUCUCGAAUACAUUACAGAUCAACCAUGAAGUACUCAGUGUUCAUGUGCUUCCUCACCGUUGUAUCAAUCACAAUCGCCGACGAACUCACAGACUGCAAAUGUUGGAAGGGGUAUGAGCCUCAUAAAGAUCCAGAGGGUGUGAAAUGUUAUGGAGUUCUGCUCUUGCAUACCAGACCAUGCAACGAACCAGAGAGGCCAAUAUGCAAAUGUUCCGGGAAUGUAACCGGUAUAGUUUCAGAUACUACCGGUUUGUGGUGUUCAGAGUAUUCCGAAGGAGAGGAGAAAAGGAGGUGGGCGUGUGAGAACAAGGAGGAAUGGAAUAAGUUCUACGAGGAGAAUCCAAGCGAGAAGCCUUGAAGGAUAUGACAGAAGUGGAAGAAUAAGAAUGUUAUACGUUUACUCAUUUCAGUCAAAGUAUUGCUUCUAUUGACGCAAUGCUUGUGACUAGACUGUUGCUUGAAUAAAGAACUGAUUUUCUGUAA